AGCUGUGUGGCUCCUACUGGAUAGGGGAAGCUUCAGUCCAAUUGGUUCGGCAUCUCAAAAUUAUUUCAUGCCUUCUUGCUUUUGCACAGUUUCUUUACCAACAGUGCUCUUUCUAGCUGCCUAAUUUCUGCCUGUCUAACCAAGAUUCAAGUCAUAGAACCUCUCCCUGAACCCCCAGUCUGAGAUGAAUACCUCUCCCCUGUGCUCUGCCUUCCUGUGCAAACCCCACUAGUAGCACUUUUUACAUGGAGGAAGAUGUCUAUCCUUCAUGUCUCUCUAUUUCUGGUACCUGGCUCACCUGUGCUUGAUUAAGGUUUGGGAUAAAAGGGAGCCCACAGACAUGGGCUUGCUGCUGGCUCUCCCAGCAGCUAGUUGGGUGACAUUGAGCAAAUCAUUUACCCUCUCUCAAUCUCCCAUUUUUCCCAAGGAGGUUGGACCAGGUAAUCCUUGAAAAUUGCUUCCUCUCCGAAGUGACAAGCUUCUAUAAAGAUGAAAAGCAGCAAAAUAGUCUCGAAAAUAGGAGACUAUGUUAUGACAUAGAAUGCACCUCCCGUUACUCUUCUUUUUCUUCUGUCUUUUAGAGGUCGUUUUUCUUUGAGCACGACUUUGAGAAGGACCAUUCUCUCCCCAAGCCCAGCUGGAGCAAGGACAUGCGACUCCUCUUUGACCAGUUCAUGAAGAAAUGUGAAGAUGGCUCCUGGACACUUUUGCCUUCAUUUAAUUAUAAAUUAAUUUAUAGGGAUCAGGACGUCUCAACCUUAAUGAAUGCUUAUUUCCCUACAGCCUCAGAGCUAGGAAACAAGGAGAAACUGUCACAAGCCCAGCUCUUUGGCACAAAUUUUAAGGAUGGCCUGGGUUUUGAAUAUGUGAUGUUCUAUAACGAUGUUGAGCAAAGGAUAGUCUGCGUGUUUCAGGGAGGCCCUCACCUGCAAGGAAUGCCCGGAUUUCUUCAUGGAGGUGCCAUUGCAACCAUGAUUGAUAUUACUCUUGGUAUGUCUGCAAUUAUAGCGGGAGAAAUUGUCAUGACUGCCAAUCUCAACAUCAAUUUUAAAAGACCUAUCUCCCUUCGUUCUGUUGUUUUGAUAAAUAGCCAACUUGAUAAAAUUGAAGGAAGGAAACUGUUUUUUUCAAGUAAUAUUCAAAGUAUUGAUGAGAAGAUCCUAUACACAGAGGCAACAGUGUUGGCUGUUUGUAGGAAUGAUGGACGAAAGAAGCAGGAAGAAGAUCAUGAAUAAUUUGAAUCCAUAGUCAACUUAAAAAUCCCAUUCCAGGCCGUGGGUUAUAUUUCAAUCUCACUAAACCUUUCAGGAUCCUAGAGGUACCAGAUAGGCUUAUUUAUAAAGCUGGAUCCGGAAAAAAAGUUAGACAUAAAAGAGCUGCUGGUGAAUUCUACUCCACCUGCAUAAGGCUCUCCUUCCUCCGGAAGACCCAGUCCUGCUCUGCUCGCUCACUGUUGAGCCCCCCAUAUGGUGAAGCCUGCUAACACUGCCGUCCUGAACAGUCUGCUGAACACAACUCAAGGAGCUCUUCCACCUUCUAAAUUUUUUUUUUUGAUUAAUCUUCACCCAAGGAUAUUUUUGCCAUUGAUUUUUUUUAGAGAGUGAAAGGGA